GAGACAGCAGUAGCCACGGUAAUACGUAGGUGGCAAGCGUUGUCCGGAAUUAUUGGGCGCAAAGGGCUCGCAGGCGGUUACUUAAGUCUGAUGUGAAAGCCCCUGGCUCAACCGGGGAGGGUCAUUGGAAACUGGGAAACUUGAGUGCAGAAGAGGAGAGUGGAAUUCCACGUGUAGCGGUGAAAUGCGUAGAGAUGUGGAGGAACACCAGUGGCGAAGGCGACUCUCUGGUCUGUAACUGACGCUGAGGAGCGAAAGCGUGGGGAGCGAACAGGAUUAGAUACCCGAGUAGUCCCUGUCUCUUAUAA
rnacentral:rRNA from 1 species